rnacentral:rRNA from 1 species
CACGUAGGGUGCGAGCGUUGUCCGGAAUUAUUGGGCGUAAAGAGCUCGUAGGCGGUGUGUCACGUCGGCCGUGAAAACCUACAGCUUAACUGUGGGCGUGCGGUCGAUACGGGCAUCACUGGAGUUCGGCAGGGGAGACUGGAAUUCCUGGUGUAGCGGUGAAAUGCGCAGAUAUCAGGAGGAACACCGGUGGCGAAGGCGGGUCUCUGGGCCGAUACUGACGCUGAGGAGCGAAAGCGUGGGGAGCAAACAGG